UACAACCAUAUCACGUUGAAACACAUACUCUCGUACGGUCACCGAAGUUAAGCAACGUCGAGCUUGAUCAGUGCCUAGAUGAGUGACUGCUUGGGAAUGCCAGGUGCGGUA